rnacentral:rRNA from 1 species
UACGAAGGGGGCUAGCGUUGCUCGGAAUUACUGGGCGUAAAGCGCACGUAGGCGGCUUUCUAAGUCGGGUGUGAAAUCCUGGAGCUCAACUCCAGAACUGCCUUCGAUACUGGAAAGCUCGAGUCCGGGAGAGGUGAGUGGAACUGCGAGUGUAGCGGUGAAAUUCGUAGAUAUUCGCAAGAACACCAGUGGCGAAGGCGGCUCACGGGCCCGGUACUGACGCUGAGGUACGAAAGCGUGGGGAGCAAACAGG